ACGCUCGACACCUACUGGAGGCAGCAGUGGGGAAUAUUGCACAAUGGGGGAAACCCUGAUGCAGCGACGCCGCGUGAAGGAAGAAGUAUUUCGGUAUGUAAACUUCUAUCAGCAGGGAAGAAAAUGACGGUACCUGACUAAGAAGCCCCGGCUAACUACGUGCCAGCAGCCGUCGGUAAUCUGAGCGGGCUGGCAAGGC
rnacentral:rRNA from 1 species